GACGAACGCUGGCGGCGUGCUUAACACAUGCAAGUCGAACGGAAAGGCCCUGCUUUUGUGGGUUGCUCGAGUGGCGAACGGGUGAGUAACACGUGAGUAACCUGCCCUUGACUUUGGGAUAACUUCAGGAAACUGGGGCUAAUACCGGAUAGGAGCUCCUGCUGCAUGGUGGGGGUUGGAAAGUUUCGGCGGUUGUGGAUGGACUCGCGUCUUAUCAGCUUGUUGGUGGGGUAGUGGCUUACCAAGGCUUUGACGGGUAGCCGGCCUGAGAGGGUGACCGGCCACAAUGGGACUGAGAGACGGACCAGAAUCCUAAGGGAGGCAGAAGGGGGGAAUAUUGCACAAUGGGCGGAAGCCUGAUGCAGCAACGCCGCGUGCGGGAUGACGGCCUUCGGGUUGUAAACCGAUUUCGACUGUGACGAAGCGUGAGUGACGGUAAUGGGUAAAGAAGCACCGGCUAACUACGUG
rnacentral:rRNA from 1 species